UCGACCGGUCGUUCUGUGACAAUAGCUAGAUACCAGUGGCUUUGGCUUUGGCGCCGCCGCCCAAUUCUUAAAACUGUAUAUUACCAUAAGAGCAUUUAUAAACACGGUUGGCUUUGGCUUUGACGCCCGGUUGCCGUCGGACUUGAAUUUGUUUAACUUUUUACCGUUCGAGGCGGUUCGCCGUCCGAAGCACCACGUAGCAAUGACGUCACAGCCAAUAGAAUAGUAAAGAGCGAUCACGUGUGUGAAGUAUGCGAAUUCCAAAUUUGGCGUGGGAUUUCUCUCUGGCGUGGGUACCGUAUGCCGUAUACCGUACAGUACGACCAUUUAUCUCGUGAUCUUUGUGUAUCAAGUUGUGUUUUUUGCAUUCCUGAGUUUUUUACCAAUAUUUUAAUAAUGGAAGUUGACAAUUCUCAUGUGGAUGGAGGAGAAAGGCAAUCUCAAAAUUUGUUGGCUGAAAUUAAUGUGGACCUAUUCAUAGAAACAAUCCAGUCCAAUGAAUAUUUAUACAACAUGACCCACAAGGACUACAAAAACCUGAAAAAAAAAGAAUUUGGCAUGGUCAGAAAUUGGUCUUAUCAACAAUGUUGCUGGUAAGCUUUGUCUAGUUUUAUAUACCUACAUGUAAGAACUCUAUUUUUCUAUGCUACCUUUUCUUUAUCUGACGUAAUAACAAACAGACAUUUCAAAAGCCGAUAGAGUAUCGCCGUCUAAAACAGUAUUAGACAGCG